CAGAGCGGUGUUUUCUGCUUGCCCCGAACGCAGCUUUCUUAUCCAUUCAACUGCUGAUGGACAUCUAGGUUGCUUCCAUAUCCUGGCUAUUAUAAACAGUGCUGCGAUGAACAUUGGGGUGCACGUGUCUCCUUCAGUUAAAGAUGAAAUUUUAACAUG